UAAGACGAGGGAUCCUAGCGUUGUUCGGAAUUAUUGGGCGUAAAGCGGAUGUAGGUGGCUUUGUAAGUCAGAUGUGAAAGCCCAGGGCUCAACCCUGGAAGUGCAUUUGAUACUGCGAAGCUUGAGUGUCGGAGAGGUUACUAGAAUUGUUGGUGUAGUGGUGAAAUACGUAGAUAUCAACAGGAAUACCGGAGGCGAAGGCGGGUAACUGGCCGAACACUGACACUGAGAUCCGAAAGCGUGGGGAUCAAACAGGAUUAGAUACCCUGGUAGUCCACGCCGUAAACGAUGGAUACUUGUUGUUGGAGGUAUUGACCCCUUCAGUGACGAAGCUAACGCGUUAAGUAUCCCGCCUGGGGAGUACGGUCGCAAGAUUAAAACUCAAAGAAAUUGACGGGGGCCCGCGCAAGCAGUGGAGCAUGUGCUUAAUCGAUGCACCGC
rnacentral:rRNA from 1 species